GAACCCUCUUAUCUCUGUCACCAGGUCAACAUACUUUGCCCGGAUCUGAUUGGAUGCUGCUGGACGGGAAGUUAUCCAGAGUUUUGCAUCAGGAAGAAGGUUACCCUUGAUGAGCCCAGUCCAGAAUGAACUUCUGCACAGCAAAUGAUUUUCCAAUGCCUGCAACACCCAUCGUCAGGACUGUUCUGUGGGGUUUCUCCUGGCCAGGCAAAGACUCAAAGAUAUCACAGAGGUUGACUGAACGUUCCAAUGAUGACUGCCUUUUCACUUUAUACUCAAGUCAUAAUAGGCUAGAACGUUACCUGACUGAUGGCUCACUGCAAAUACUGGCUGGCUGUUCAGGCGUCAGAGGAGAAGGGCUGGAAGAUGAAAAGUCGGACAACUUCCUCUUUUUCCUCUGGGCCAUGUCUACAGCUGCUGCUGAAACUCAACAACUGGAAGACAGGGGAAUAGUUCAAGACACAAAGAAAAGAAUCCAAGAGUUUCUUUGUCCGUAACCAUGAAGCACACUCCAGUCCUACCCCUGGAUGUGGGUUCGCAGUGCUGACACCCUGUUACUGGACACCGCCCGCCUGUGGAGGUGAGCUGUCACUGUCGUCCUCCCAGGUUGAAGAAG